UACGGGAGGCAGCAGUGAGGAAUAUUGGUCAAUGGGCGGAAGCCUGAACCAGCCAAGUAGCGUGAAGGACGACUGCCCUAUGGGUUGUAAACUUCUUUUAUGCGGGGAUAAAGUUCGCCACGUGUGGCGUUUUGCAGGUACCGCAUGAAUAAGGACCGGCUAAUUCCGUGCCAGCAGCCGCGGUAAUACGGAAGGUCCAGGCGUUAUCCGGAUUCAUUGGGUUUAAAGGGAGCGUAGGCCGCCUUUUAAGCGUGUUGUGAAAUGUAGGGGCUCAACCCCUGCACUGCAGCGCGAACUGGAGGGCUUGAGUACACACAAAGUAGGCGGAAUUCAUGGUGUAGCGGUGAAAUGCUUAGAUAUCAUGAAGAACCCCGAUUGCGAAGGCAGCUUACUGGAGUGUAACUGACGCUGAAGCUCGAAAGCGCGGGUAUCGAACAGGAUUAGAUACCCUGGUAGUCCGCGCGGUAAACGAUGGAUGCCCGCUGUUUGCCAAUUUGGUAAGCGGCCAAGCGAAAGCGUUAA
rnacentral:rRNA from 1 species